CUUGCAUGGCAAAAACUAAAAUCAGCUCAGGCUUCUUCGUGUGAAGCCCAUUAGAAGGGCCUAUAGACAAGCAGGUUAUUACUUGAAACAGCUGCAAUGAAAGACUGUGUUGGGAAAACCCUGCACAAGCUUCCAAGUGGCAUAGGAAGGAAUGAGUAGGUCAUCUCCACGUAACAGAACCAAUAGCUUCACUCCCCUCCAUGGCACAGGGCCUGUUGGAGCCUGUUCUCUGCAGGAGAAUCCCCCAGGAUUGCAGCCAGAUGGUGUGGGAACAGACCUCCCAAACCCUACCAAGUCAUCCCUCUGCUCUCAGGAAGUUGAAUUCAGGAGCCAACACUCACUGUGCCUGAAGCCACAUUAUCCCCAUAAACCCCUGCCCUCGCUGUUCCCACACCUGGAGGAGCCUGAACCAGGCAGCCCAUCUGCUCCAGUGACGAUGGGCGUGAGGUGGUCAGAGAGCCGGGCAGCAGCCCAGGGCAGAGGCUGCCAGGAGCACACUGAGGAGCUCUGGGGUCAGCCAUCCCUCAAGCCAUCUCUACCUUCCAAGCCCAUUCCAGCAAACAGAAAAUAUGCCAUCAGUUUUGCUGAAGCCAAGGGGUCAGUGACAGUAACCUGGCAGUACUCGAUGUCUCGUUCCAAGAUAAAAUGAUUUGUCUCGGACCAAAUGCUUCCCCAUCAGAAACACGAUGAAAUGGCUGUUAACUGUCCAAUUUCUGAACAUGUAAGAGGUGAUCAAAGUUAA